GGUGGAUGGUGCAGAGCAGGGUAAUCUGUGUGCAGGCUCAGUCUUCCAGAAGUGUACGCAACAUUGUUCGCCAUGGGCUUGUCCUGCACUUGCCACGUGUGUCUGUGAAAGCACAGAGGGGACGAUGGAUCAGAACAGGCAGUCAGUUAAAGAACCAUCAAGAAGAUUUCCAAACUGUUCUUGAUCAUGAGAGAACAGCCAAAGCUACAAAUCAUACCCAUAAAAGGUGAGACGGAGAUAGCCAAUUCUCUGGCUCAGUCUGGCCACCUGGCCCUGCUCCGCUGGCGCCCCCCUCAGGUAGACGAUGCCAAUGCGCCGCAGAGCCUC